CAGUCGCCACGGGAAUACGAAGGGGGCUAGCGUUGUUCGGAUUUACUGGGCGUAAAGGGCGCGUAGGCGGACUGAUAAGUCAGGGGUGAAAUCCCAAGGCUCAACCUUGGAACUGCCUUUGAUACUGUUUGUCUUGAGUUCGAGAGAGGUAAGUGGAACUGCGAGUGUAGAGGUGAAAUUCGUAGAUAUUCGGAAGAACACCAGUGGCGAAGGCGGCUCACUGGACGACUGUUGACGCUGAGGUGCGAAAGCGUGGGGAGCAAACAGGAUUAGAUACCCCAGUAGUCCCUGUCUCUUAUAC
rnacentral:rRNA from 1 species